GAUGAACGCUGGCGGCGUGCCUAAUACAUGCAAGUCGAGCGAACGGACGAGAAGCUUGCUUCUCUGAUGUUAGCGGCGGACGGGUGAGUAACACGUGGAUAACCUACCUAUAAGACUGGGAUAACUUCGGGAAACCGGAGCUAAUACCGGAUAAUAUUUUGAACCGCAUGGUUCAAAAGUGAAAGACGGCCUUGCUGUCACUUAUAGAUGGAUCCGCGCUGCAUUAGCUAGUUGGUAAGGUAACGGCUUACCAAGGCAACGAUGCAUAGCCGACCUGAGAGGGUGAUCGGCCACACUGGAACUGAGACACGGUCCAGACUCCUACGGGAGGCAGCAGUAGGGAAUCUUCCGCAAUGGGCGAAAGCCUGACGGAGCAACGCCGCGUGAGUGAUGAAGGUCUUCGGAUCGUAAAACUCUGUUAUUAGGGAAGAACAUAUGUGUAAGUAACUGUGCACAUCUUGACGGUACCUAAUCAGAAAGCCACGGCUAACUACGUGCCAGCAGCCGCGGUAAUACGUAGGUGGCAAGCGUUAUCCGGAAUUAUUGGGCGUAAAGCGCGCGUAGGCGGUUUUUUAGUCUGAUGUGAAAGCCCACGGCUCAACCGUGGAGGGUCAUUGGAAACUGGAAAACUUGAGUGCAGAAGAGGAAAGUGGAAUUCCAUGUGUAGCGGUGAAAUGCGCAGAGAUAUGGAGGAACACCAGUGGCGAAGGCGACUUUCUGGUCUGUAACUGACGCUGAUGUGCGAAAGCGUGGGGAUCAAACAGGAUUAGAUACCCUGGUAGUCCACGCCGUAAACGAUGAGUGCUAAGUGUUAGGGGGUUUCCGCCCCUUAGUGCUGCAGCUAACGCAUUAAGCACUCCGCCUGGGGAGUACGACCGCAAGGUUGAAACUCAAAGGAAUUGACGGGGACCCGCACAAGCGGUGGAGCAUGUGGUUUAAUUCGAAGCAACGCGAAGAACCUUACCAAAUCUUGACAUCCUUUGACAACUCUAGAGAUAGAGCUUUCCCCUUCGGGGGACAAAGUGACAGGUGGUGCAUGGUUGUCGUCAGCUCGUGUCGUGAGAUGUUGGGUUAAGUCCCGCAACGAGCGCAACCCUUAAGCUUAGUUGCCAUCAUUAAGUUGGGCACUCUAAGUUGACUGCCGGUGACAAACCGGAGGAAGGUGGGGAUGACGUCAAAUCAUCAUGCCCCUUAUGAUUUGGGCUACACACGUGCUACAAUGGACAAUACAAAGGGCAGCGAAACCGCGAGGUCAAGCAAAUCCCAUAAAGUUGUUCUCAGUUCGGAUUGUAGUCUGCAACUCGACUACAUGAAGCUGGAAUCGCUAGUAAUCGUAGAUCAGCAUGCUACGGUGAAUACGUUCCCGGGUCU
rnacentral:rRNA from 1 species